GUGCUUGCUUCGGCAGCACAUAUACUAAAAUUGGAACGAUACAGAGAAGAUUAGCAUGGCCCCUAAAAAAAACAAAAAAACAAAAAAACAUUUUAAUCUUGU